ACAUGGGAUCAUCGCAUAAUUUGGCUUUGGCGUUGCUGGGCUAUUUAAAGGCAGUGUCGCUGGGGUGUAGGUUCGAGCUGUGUGCCUGUAGGAAGGCUGCUGUCUGCACUGUUACUUGAUACAGGAGCUCAUCAGAGUGGCAGCCAACAUCCUGAUGUAACCUGCAGCCCUCACUCUGAUUGUAGCAUCUUGGAUGAGACCACGUGGCCAUGGGGAAACCCGGAGCUGUGCCUGAACAGGCAAAGCUGAUCUAAAAAUCACAUUGGAGGAAAUGAUUCAGCAAAUGGAUUGCAAGAAAAUCGAGUGAGACAGAGAUGGCGAGAAAUACUGAGUUGAAGAAAAUGCAUUAAAUGUAAAGGUAUUUCAAGCUCCACUAACAGCUUUAUAUCAAGCCCACAGGACUUUUAUUUGUUGCCUGAUCUCCACAGAAGUCCAGGAGAAGGUCAGAUGCCUCUCAUUUCACAGAAUGAUAGAAUAUCCUAAGGUGGAAGGUACCCAUAAGGAUUAUAGAAUCCAGCUCCAUUCAGUGCCUUUCCAAGGACGCAGUUCUGCUUUUUAUCCCUCCAAAGAAACAACAAAGAAAUGGAAAUAAAUCGGAGAGUUGAGAGGAGCAUGGACCAUUUUGGGGGGGAAAAGAAGACAUAGCAUAAAUAAAUCACAAAAUUGUGAUCUU